UACGGAGGGGGCAAGCGUUGUUCGGAAUUACUGGGCGUAAAGGGCGCGCAGGCGGCUGCUCAAGUCAGGCGUGAAAGGCCUGGGCUCAACCCGGGAAUUGCGCUUGAGACUGAGCUGGCUUGAGUGCGGGAGAGGAUGGUGGAAUUCCCAGUGUAGAGGUGAAAUUCGUAGAUAUUGGGAAGAACACCGGUGGCGAAGGCGGCCAUCUGGACCGCAACUGACGCUGAGGCGCGAAAGCGUGGGGAGCAAACAGG
rnacentral:rRNA from 1 species